UCCCAAACCCCCCCCCCCUUAUAUAGGUUUUUUUACACGCUCAGGACGAACGCUGGCGGCGUGCCUAAUACAUGCAAGUCGAGCGGAUUGAAGGGAGCUUGCUCCCUGAUAUUAGCGGCGGACGGGUGAGUAACACGUGGGCAACCUGCCCUGCAGAUGGGGAUAACUCCGGGAAACCGGGGCUAAUACCGAAUAAUCGGUUCUUCCGCAUGGAAGAACUCUGAAAGACGGUUUCGGCUGUCACUGCAGGAUGGGCCCGCGGCGCAUUAGCUAGUUGGUGGGGUAACGGCCUACCAAGGCGACGAUGCGUAGCCGACCUGAGAGGGUGAUCGGCCACACUGGGACUGAGACACGGCCCAGACUCCUACGGGAGGCAGCAGUAGGGAAUCUUCCACAAUGGACGAAAGUCUGAUGGAGCAACGCCGCGUGAGCGAAGAAGGUUUUCGGAUCGUAAAGCUCUGUUGCGAGGGAAGAACAAGUACGGGAGUAACUGCCCGUACCUUGACGGUACCUCGUCAGAAAGCCACGGCUAACUACGUGCCAGCAGCCGCGGUAAUACGUAGGUGGCAAGCGUUGUCCGGAAUUAUUGGGCGUAAAGCGCGCGCAGGCGGUCCUUUAAGUCUGAUGUGAAAGCCCACGGCUCAACCGUGGAGGGUCAUUGGAAACUGGAGGACUUGAGUACAGAAGAGGAAAGCGGAAUUCCACGUGUAGCGGUGAAAUGCGUAGAGAUGUGGAGGAACACCAGUGGCGAAGGCGGCUUUCUGGUCUGUAACUGACGCUGAGGCGGAAAGGACGGCCC
rnacentral:rRNA from 1 species